GACGAACGCUGGCGGCGCGCUUAACACAUGCAAGUCGAGCGAGAACCCUCCUUCGGGAGGGGGACAGCGGCGAACGGGUGAGUAACACGUGGGUAAUCUGCCCUCGGUUCUGGGAUAGCCCGGGGAAACCCGGAUUAAUACCGGAUAGCCUCUCGAGCUCUCGGGCUCGUGAGAAAAGGUAGCUUCGGCCUCCGAUCGAGGAGGAGCCCGCGGCGGAUUAGCUUGUUGGUGGGGUAACGGCCCACCAAGGCGACGAUCCGUAGCUGGUCUGAGAGGACGAUCAGCCACACUGGGACUGAGACACGGCCCAGACUCCUACGGGAGGCAGCAGUGGGGAAUCUUGCGCAAUGGGCGAAAGCCUGACGCAGCGACGCCGCGUGAGGGAAGAAGGCCU
rnacentral:rRNA from 1 species